rnacentral:other from 17 species
GUCGCAAUCCCCUCUAACAGCGGGUCUCUUCCUUC